GGUAUUUCUAAAAUUAUAAAUAAAUUUAAGGCCUUUUUGCAUAAAAAAUUCACUUACUUUGGGUUUUUACAAAAUCGGGCCACCUUUCUCGUUUUUGCAGAUUCGGUCCACUUUUUCAGCAAACUGAUCAAAAUAUCCUUAUUACUUUUUCUCUUUCCUCUUUCUCUCUCCUCUUCGUUCUCUCGUUCUUUUUUUUUCCGCGAGAAAAAAAAAGCGAAGGCCAGGCGGAGCAAUUUUUUCUUCUCUUUUUCUUUUUCUUCUUCUUCUUCUUCUUCUUCCUCUUGCUGGAGCACCUUUCUUUUUUCCCUCUUCUUCUUCUUCUUCUUCUUCCUGUAAGAGCACGGGGCGUGCCACGGCGACUUCUGGCCUCGCCAAGCGGCAUCCACCCGGCGGCGUUCUGCAGGGAGGGGUCGGCACCGGCGACCGCGAGCGCCGCGGCGAGGGUAGGGGCGCAGGGAGGCGGGCGGCGAGGUGGAGCGGGGUGUCGCAGCCGGGGACGUCGCGCCGGUCGAGGGCGGCGGUCACGCGCGC
rnacentral:lncRNA from 1 species